CCUGGUGGGCUUCAAAGCGCGCACGAAGUGCUCCUCGGGGCCCGGACCCGCUCUGCGGCAGCGAGGCGAGAACAGGCGUUUGUCUUCGGGGGUCGGCGUUUUAGCGUCUGCUGUUCCUCAGCAGUGAAGAAGGGAAGACUUCAGUGAAGCUGCACCAGAAAGCAUCAUUCAUGGAAACUGCCUCGCUCGCUUAGGGUCUUCAGUACUUGGGCAGAUGUGGGUGCCGUUUUGAGGAAGUAAAGAAUCCACUGGAUCUACAACAGACAGAUUUUAUUGUGAACUUUCCACUGAGAUCUACAGAUUAAGCUGUGCCUUCUAGUUUGCCCUUCUACAGCUGUGGAAAGUGCAGUUAGCUGUGGUUUUAUGUACUGGUUUCUAUAUGGCAACCCUGUUUCAAGGUGAGGGAACAAAUCCAUGCAGUUUGUCUGACAACGAGGAAGCUUGCCUCAACAAUGAAUUUGCAAAGGACUCUAUGUUAGCUGUUUUGACAAGAAUGUCGUAACAAAUUAAAAUAUAGCCUCUAUUGGCAGCUGAGCAGGAAGGAUCACCUCUAGCAUUGUCAUUUAACAGAUUUCAUAACCUAGUGACUAAGAAGAGGAGGAAAUGGUGUUUGAAUUUACCAGAUAUGAUUUGUGUGUUUAGUAAACAAGAACAUUUCAACAUAUAAUUUAUUUUAAUUUGUGCAUAUAUACAAAAAAAAAAAAAAACAAAAAACAAACAAACAAAAAAAAAAAACAUAAAUUACUUGGCCACUAGGACAGGCAAAUGGAGACAUUUCUAGACAGCAGCCAGAGGCAAUUCUCAGCUCUAGCAUUCUUUAAUUUAUAGGAAAGAUGAUCGAGAAUCACAUGUUAAGAAUUCUGAAUUUCACAGCCCUGUUCAGAGACUUCAUUCCUUUCCCAGAUACCCUUACUCCAUUGUCAUAUUAUCCUAACAAACUGAGUUUCCUCCUUACUGAUUCCCAUUUGUAUUUGGUUUACUGAAGCUCUUUACUUUUCCUGUUCUUCUAGAUACAGCAUUGCCUCUCCAGCCUUCCAAAGGCAGACUCCAGCUUCAAAGAGUUGUAAGGCUGGUAUCAAAAGAACAAGAUUAAAAUAGAGCUCUCAUUAAGUUCUUGACAUGGCAGGAGAAAGGGCCAACAGCUCCUACAGUAAAAAGAGAGAGAGAAGGAGAGAAGAACAGGGGAGCUGUUCACCACAGGGCUGGAGGAUAAAUUAUUUCAAAAUUAAGGUACGGUGCAGUCUCUUGUUUUUGUGAGGUUACUGGUUUCAGAGGAUUUUUCUAUUUAAGUUCACACGGUGUCCAGACUGCUCUUCCUUCUCCAUGACCAGAGUGUCUAGAGCUGUACUCAACAGAAUGUUUAUUUGUAAUAAAUCAAUUUUAGAAUGUGUUUUUAAAAAGCAAUCUCAGUAUGCAAGUUAGUAAAAUGCCGUACAUACUAAGAACUUGUGUAUUCAGUUAUAAAAAAGUAUAACCUACUCAGAAUAUGUUUACAGGUUUUUGUUUGCAUUUCUUGUGAACUGGGAACCAAGACAGUGUAGGGCCUUUACAGAUACAGAAAAGCACAUACCUUCUCUUGAGUGUACACAGUUAGCAGGCUGCUACUCUCCUAAUUUUGGAGAAGCAAUUCUUAAGCAGCAUGCUUAUGUUCUGCUUACCUAGUGUCUUUAAGGCCCAGGUACUUAAGUCCUCAGGAAUUUCAGGUAUCAAAAAGCAGAAAGGUCCUAGCCAUCAUUUACAAUGUAGCAUUCAUGACCCUAUUUUACUCUUCAAUGACUAAGAAGAAUGAGUUUUUUUUCCCCCAAGUGUUCUACCUUUCCUCUAAAAGUACAUAUUUCUGAGGAAUAAGAUGUGUACUGUUUGGAUACUAAGGCUGGAAAUUUUAGAUUUGUAGCAAUGCAAAUGUCUAGUUGAGCCUCACUAGGUGAGCUAGGUGUAUAUAUUUAGUAAUAGUGGGAGGAGAACCACUGAACUCUGACAUGUCACCAUUAAUGCAUUAUAAAAACAUUUCAUUGCUGAAAAAAAGAUUUAAAAUCUCAUGGAUUGUGAAUCAGAUUCAAUUGUGUGGACUAAACUGACAUAUAUGACAUUUAUAAUUUGGUAUUUUAUGAGCACUGGUAGUCAGUGAGUAUUCAAAUGAAUGUUCUUUACAUGUUGAAUGGCAAGAAAACAGAACUGGGAAGAAAAUAAGAGGUAAGGAAGCAAGGUAACAAAGCCUACUCCUGCAUUAUGUUAUGCACUCAUUGGCCUGAUCACAUUUCAUCCUGCAUUGCUUUUUACACUACGUUCUUUCACAGAACUACCGAAAGACAGACAUACCCUUAAAAACAAUAUAAUUUCACUACCGAGAUAACUUAUGCGUUUGAAAUAUACCUUUGCCU